GACGAACGCUGGCGGCGUGCCUAAUACAUGCAAGUUGAGCGAUGAAGCUUGGUGCUUGCACCAAUUUGAAGAGCAGCGAACGGGUGAGUAACGCGUGGGGAAUCUGCCUUUGAGCGGGGGACAACAUUUGGAAACGAAUGCUAAUACCGCAUAACAACUUUAAACAUAAGUUUUAAGUUUGAAAGAUGCAAUUGCAUCACUCAAAGAUGAUCCCGCGUUGUAUUAGCUAGUUGGUGAGGUAAAGGCUCACCAAGGCGAUGAUACAUAGCCGACCUGAGAGGGUGAUCGGCCACAUUGGGACGGAGACACGGCCCAAACUCCUACGGGAGGCAGCAGUAGGGAACCUUCGGCAAUGGACGAAAGUCUGACCGAGCAACGCCGCGUGAGUGAAGAAGGGUGUCGGAUCGUAAAAAUCGGUUGGUAGAGAAGAACGUUGGUGAGAGUGGAAAGCUCAUCAAGUGACGGUAACUACCCAGAAAGGGACGGCUAACUACGUG
rnacentral:rRNA from 1 species